UGAUGUGAGGGUGAUCUUGCUGCGACAUCUGUCACUUCAUUUAUUGCCUGGGUUGGUUUGGCUGGUCUGGCUGGCUAGCUGGGGGUCCCCUUCCUCUAUCACUACUCCAAGAGUGGCCCACCCAAAGCUGUGCACCCGGUUGAAGAGGACGACCUUCCCCAGAUAGAGGAGGCUGGUCUUUGGUCAAGGGUGUACGAGCAGCUGCGUUCCCCUGCUAGAUCCUCCAGACAAGCUCUCAAGAUUCAUGCUUUUAUCCACCACCCACCUUUCCACCCAGUCAUCUCUUCACUAAAGGUACAAGUAAGUAUGGGAAU
rnacentral:snRNA from 1 species